rnacentral:rRNA from 1 species
AUGCAAGUCGAGGGGCAGCAGGACUGUAGCAAUACAGUUGCUGGCGACCGGCAAACGGGUGCGGAACACGUACGCAACUUACCCAAAACUGGGG